UACUAGAGUAGCACUCGCAUAUCAAUAAGCGGAGGAAAAGAAACUAACAAGGAUUCCCCUAGUAACGGCGAGUGAAGCGGGAAGAGCUCAAAUUUGAAAUCUUAAAGGGUUUCCCUUUACGAAUUGUAGUUUAAAGAAGUGUUUUCUGUUGAGGUUUUGGUAAAAGUUCUUUGGAAUAGGACAUCAUAGAGGGUGAGAAUCCCGUAUUUGACCUUUACUUUCAACUUUGUGAUACACUUUCAAAGAGUCGGAUUGUUUGGGAAUGCAGUCCAAAAUGGGUGGUUAAUUUCAUCUAAAGCUAAAUAUUGGCGAGAGACCGAUAGCGAACAUGUACCGUGAGGGAAAGAUGAAAAGAACUUUGAAAAGAGAGUUAAACAGUACGUGAAAUUGUCAAAAGGGAAGCGUUUGACACCAGUGUUGUUUUUCUGAAAAUCAAUUAAAGAACUGUUUAUGCUAAGCUGUUUAGACUUUAUCAGCUAAUCUGUUUAGUUUUGAGCUUUUCUUUAAUGCACUUUUCAGUUAACAAGUCAACAUCAAUUUCUUUUGCUGUAAAAAAGCUUGAGGAAGGUGGCUUGAGAUUCGUCUUAAGUGUUUAUAGCCUCUUGCCUAUGCAGUCGGAGAGAUUGAGGUCUGCAGCGUAGAUCCUUCGGGGCUAAAUGCAUUUGUGCUAAGUUAUAACAUUUCAUAGACAACUUGUUGACUAUGAUUUGUCUUGUAGCUUAACUCGCUUAUGUUAUUUUACCUACGCUUAGGAUGUUGAUAUCGCGCUCUCACUG
rnacentral:rRNA from 1 species